CAAGUCGAGCGGUAGAGAGAAGCUUGCUUCUCUUGGGAGCGGCGGACGGGUGAGUAAUGCCUAGGAGUCUGCCUGGUAGUGGGGGAUAACGUUCGGAAACGGACGCUAAUACCGCAUACGUCCUACGGGAGAAAGCAGGGGACCUUCGGGCCUUGCGCUAUCAGAUGAGCCUAGGUCAGAUUAGCUAGUUGGUGAGGUAAUGGCUCACCAAGGCGACGAUCCGUAACUGGUCUGAGAGGAUGAUCAGUCACACUGGAACUGAGACACGGUCCAGACUCCUACGGGAGGCAGCAGUGGGGAAUAUUGGACAAUGGGCGAAAGCCUGAUCCAGCCAUGCCGCGUGUGUGAAGAAGGUCUUCGGAUUGUAAAGCACUUUAAGUUGGGAGGAAGGGUUGUAGAUUAAUACUCUGCAAUUUUGACGUUAUCGACAGAAUAAGCACCGGCUAACUCUGUGCCAGCAGCCGCGGUAAUACAGAGGGUGCAAGCGUUAAUCGGAAUUACUGGGCGUAAAGCGCGCGUAGGUGGUUUGUUAAGUUGGAUGUGAAAUCCCCGGGCUCAACCUGGGAACUGCAUUCAAAACUGACUGACUAGAGUAUGGUAGAGGGUGGUGGGAAUUUCCUGUGUAGCGGUGAAAUGCGUAGAUAUAGGAAGGAACACCAGUGGCGAAGGCGACCACCUGGACUAAUACUGACACUGAGGUGCGAAAGCGUGGGGAGCAAAC
rnacentral:rRNA from 1 species